rnacentral:rRNA from 1 species
CCUACGGGCGGCAGCAGUGGGGAAUAUUGCACAAUGGGGGAAACCCUGAUGCAGCGACGCCGCGUGAGUGCAGAAGUAAUUCGUUAUGUAAAGCUCUAUCAGCAGGGAAGAAAAUGACGGUUCCUGAGUAAGAAGCCCCGGCUAACUACGUCCCAGAAGCCGCGGGACUACGUAGGGGGCAAGCGUUAUCCGGAUUGACUGGGGGUAAAGGGCGCGUAGACGGGAGUGCAUGUCUGGAGUGAAAGGCGGGGGCUCAACCCCCGGACUGCUCUGGACACUGGAAGGAUGGAGGGCAUGAGAGGUAAGUGGAAGUCAUAGUGUAGCGGUGAAAUGCGUAGAUAUUAGGAGGAACACCAGUGGCGAAGGCGGCUUACUGG